GACGAACGCUGGCGGCGUGCUUAACACAUGCAAGUCGAACGGAAAGGCCCUGCUUUUGUGGGGUGCUCGAGUGGCGAACGGGUGAGUAACACGUGAGUAACCUGCCCUUGACUUUGGGAUAACUUCAGGAAACUGGGGCUAAUACCGGAUAGGAGCUCCUGCUGCAUGGUGGGGGUUGGAAAGUUUCGGCGGUUGGGGAUGGACUCGCGGCUUAUCAGCUUGUUGGUGGGGUAGUGGCUUACCAAGGCUUUGACGGGUAGCCGGCCUGAGAGGGUGACCGGCCACAUUGGGAAUGAGAUACGGCCCAGACUCCUACGGGAGGCAGCAGUGGGGAAUAUUGCACAAUGGGCGGAAGCCUGAUGCAGCAACGCCGCGUGCGGGAUGAAGGCCUUCGGGUUGUAAACCGCUUUCGCCUGUGACGAAGCGUGAGUGACGGUAAUGGGUAAAGAAGCACCGGCUAACUACGUG
rnacentral:rRNA from 1 species